CAGCAGUGGGGAAUAUUGCACAAUGGGGGAAACCCUGAUGCAGCGACGCCGCGUGGAGGAAGAAGGUCUUCGGAUUGUAAACUCCUGUUGUUGAGGAAGAUAAUGACGGUACUCAACAAGGAAGUGACGGCUAACUACGUGCCAGCAGCCGCGGUAAAACGUAGGUCACAAGCGUUGUCCGGAAUUACUGGGUGUAAAGGGAGCGCAGGCGGGAAAACAAGUUGGAAGUGAAAUCCAUGGGCUCAACCCAUGAACUGCUUUCAAAACUGUUUUUCUUGAGUAGUGCAGAGGUAGGCGGAAUUCCCGGUGUAGCGGUGGAAUGCGUAGAUAUCGGGAGGAACACCAGUGGCGAAGGCGGCCUACUGGGCACCAACUGACGCUGAGGCUCGAAAGUGUGGGUAGCAAACAGGAUUAGAUACCCUGGUAGUCCACACCGUAAACGAUGAUUACUAGGUGUUGGAGGAUUGACCCCUUCAGUGCCGCAGUUAACACAAUAAGUAAUCCACCUGGGGAGUACGACCGCAAGGUUGAAACUCAAAGGAAUUGACGGGGGCCCGCACAAGCAGUGGAGUAUGUGGUUUAAUUCGACGCAACGCGAAGAACCUUACCAAGUCUUGACAUCCCUUGACGAUGCUGGAAACAGUAUUUCUCUUCGGAGCAAGGAGACAGGUGGUGCAUGGUUGUCGUCAGCUCGUGUCGUGAGAUGUUGGGUUAAGUCCCGCAACGAGCGCAACCCUUAUGGUCAGUUACUACGCAAGAGGACUCUGGCCAGACUGCCGUUGACAAAACGGAGGAAGGUGGGGAUGACGUCAAAUCAUCAUGCCCUUUAUGACUUGGGCUACACACGUACUACAAUGGCGUUAAACAAAGAGAAGCAAGACCGCGAGGUGGAGCAAAACUCAGAAACAACGUCCCAGUUCGGACUGCAGGCUGCAACUCGCCUGCACGAAGUCGGAAUUGCUAGUAAUCGUGGAUCAGCAUGCCACGGUGAAUACGUUCCCGGGCCUUGUACACACCGCCCGUCACACCAUGAGAGCCGGGGGGACCCGAAGUCGGUAGUCUAACCGCAAGGAGGACGCCGCCGAAGGUAAAACUGGUGAUUGGGGUGAAGUCGUAACAAGGUAGCCGUAGGAGAACCUGCGGCUG
rnacentral:rRNA from 1 species